UACGAAGGGGGCUAGCGUUGCUCGGAUUGACUGGGCGUAAAGGGCGCGUAGGCGGUUCGUACAGUCAGACGUGAAAUUCCUGGGCUCAACCUGGGGGCUGCGUUUGAUACGUGCGGACUUGAGUGCGGAAGAGGGUCGUGGAAUUCCCAGUGUAGAGGUGAAAUUCGUAGAUAUUGGGAAGAACACCUGAGGCGAAGGCGGGUUGCUGGGCCGACACUGACGCUGAGGCGCGAAAGCCAGGGGAGCAAACGGG
rnacentral:rRNA from 1 species